rnacentral:rRNA from 1 species
UACGUAGGUGGCAAGCGUUGUCCGGAUUUACUGGGCGUAAAGAGCGCGCAGGCGGCUGGUCAAGUCCGAUGUGAAAUCUCCCGGCUCAACUGGGAAACUGCAUCGGAAACUGAUCGGCUUGAAGGUGGGAGAGGGUAGUGGAAUUCCCGGUGUAGCGGUGAAAUGCGUAGAUAUCGGGAGGAACAUCAGUGGCGAAGGCGGCUACCUGGCCCAAUACUGACACUCAGGUGCGACAGCGUGGGGAGCAAACAGG